UACGGAGGGGGUUAGCGUUGUUCGGAAUUACUGGGCGUAAAGCGCGCGUAGGCGGGCUGUUAAGUCGGGGGUGAAAUCCCGGGGCUCAACCCCGGAACUGCCUUCGAUACUGGCAGCCUUGAGGUCGAGAGAGGUGAGUGGAACUCCGAGUGUAGAGGUGAAAUUCGUAGAUAUUCGGAAGAACACCAGUGGCGGAGGCGGCUCACUGGCUCGAUACUGACGCUGAGGUGCGAAAGUGUGGGGAGCAAACAGG
rnacentral:rRNA from 1 species